rnacentral:tRNA from 1 species
GCUCCAGUAAUCUAAUGGUUAAGAUUUCGGAUAGAUCAUAGGUUCGAAUCCUGUCUAGACCU